rnacentral:lncRNA from 1 species
GAAUUUUCUUAUGUUGACCAGCUAACUUAUCCUCAAUUAAUUCAAAGGAUGACUUACGUGCACUCGUCACCCGCUUUCGAAUAUCUGCAUUUUCAUUAAUAUUGUCUGCUUCCUCGGCUAUUCACAUACCAGGAAUAUGUCUCAUGUUACAAUUUUGCUGAUUUAUUUUUCCUCUUCUUAUUGUCUUUAAAAGAGGAUGCCAAAUGAGCACUUUCUGUCUUAUCUUGCUUUAUUCUCUCUUCCUCUUGCACAC